GUUAAUUCAUGUAUCGAAAGGUAGUUUGACAAUGUUCAGUAGUGCUAUAAGGUAAAGUUACAAAAUUUCAAAAUUGACAAACGUAAACAAAACGUACUUUCAUAUAGUAAUUAACAUAGUUACACUACUAUUAUAUUUUAAACAGGUUAAUUUGUAAUAUUCUGUACCCAACACUGCACACUCGGUUGGUUUAUGUGUCAGGUGGUGCGGCGCCCCCUCUAUAGGCCAACUGUGGUACUGCACCUGACCCAACUGCGCGUUCUCGAUGGGCUGAUGAUCACACUGGAGGAGAGAACCAGAGCAGAACUGCUGAACACAGAAACACAGGGUGUAGCUAUAGAUCUACCUCUGUUUUCUCUGCUGCCAUUGGUCUCCAGGCCAACACCUCUGCAGAGGAACAUUAUCAUCGGGCAACAGCAGCAUUUGGAUGAAACAAACACAGAGAGGAGGCAGCGAACAUCUCGUCUGGGUCCAGCUGAGACCCUGUAUCGACUGGCCAAGGGAGUGACCAACCCAGUUCCCAGCAGCCACCGAGGCGCAUUCACACACACCAACAACGACCAGGAUUACAGGACUCAGAGCGGCAGCGGCGUAAAAGCCCAACACACCAAGGAUCAGACGGAGGAUGCACACACUCUGAACACACACAGAACCUCAUCUCUGGACACGUCCAAACAAGACAACUGUAGAUGAGCUUCUGCCAUUUUUAAUUUUUUGAUCAAUGUAUUACUUUGAGAAAACAUCAUGUUUAUAUAUAUAUAUGUAUAUAUUCUUUAAUAAGAAAGAAAUAA
ensembl:lncRNA